UACGUAGGGGGCAAGCGUUGUCCGGAUUUAUUGGGCGUAAAGAGCGUGUAGGCGGUUUGGUAGGUCCGCUGUGAAAACUCGAGGCUCAACCUCGAGACACCGGUGGAAACCAUCAGACUAGAGUCCGGAAGAGGAGAGCGGAAUUCCUGGUGUAGCGGUGAAAUGCGCAGAUAUCAGGAAGAACACCCGUGGCUAAGGCGGCUCUCUAGUACGGUACUGACGCUGAGACGCGAAAGCGUGGGGAGCGAACAGG
rnacentral:rRNA from 1 species